CAAACGGAUUUGUCUGCUCUAC
rnacentral:siRNA from 1 species